rnacentral:rRNA from 1 species
AAAGGAAUCACAGAUGCGAUGUCUCGAUUUUGGUGGGGUGAUGAUGCAACUCGCAAGGGGAUGCACUGGUUCACGUGGUGGAAGAUGUGCAUUCCAAAAAAGGAAGAAGGGAUGGGGUUCCGAGAUAUUCACUAUUUUAAUUUGGCAUUGUUGGCUAAACUGGCUUGGAGACUAAUUGAUAAUCCUGAUUAUCUAUCUGCGACGGUUCUAAAGGCAAAAUACUUUGCCAAUGUAGAUCUUAUGGAUGCUACCCUAAUGAAAAAGGCUUUGUAUACUCCCUCCGUUCCUUGA